rnacentral:lncRNA from 1 species
UCCCGUUCUCUUAGAUAGCUUCUACUUCAGAAGUAUAAUCUAUUCUCUCCCACUCAUCCAGUCUCAAGAGAAUUGGAACUAUUUUGCAAUAAAAGAUGUGUAAGGCUGACCCUCCCUGCCUACGCUGCUCUCUGCUUAAAUGGGUUGAGUCAGUAUUUCCUCUUUUUCUAAUUCAGCAAUGGGCCAGCUGGUUUUGUCUGAUAGACUAAGACCCAAUUAAAUGACCUUCUUUCUAACCAGGAAAACAAUAGAGGAAUGUUCUGGAGAAUAUAUUUGGAAAACCUGGCCUGAUCUUCCCAUCUGAUUUUCACACGUGAGGAAUCUGAGGAGCUUGAGAAGAUAAAUGAGCCACUCAAGGUCACACAGCUGGUAAAUAAUAGUACUGAUAAAAGGUCUUUGAGUUUUAUGGUUGUGACAGCUUAGAUAUGAAAAGGGUCUUAAAGAACACCUAAUUUAAGCAAUUCACUUUGUUAGAAGAGGAAAUACAACUCCAAAGAGGAUAAGUUACUGUCCAAGGCUGUACAGGCAAAGUCUAUAUGGAGAAUCUGAUAGACUUUCUGGCUUCUCCUUGGAAGGAAACAAAGUGAAAAUGAAUUUAAUUAUGCUAGCCAGAAAUGACUCUUAACCAAUGUUUUCUAAGUAUGCAUAAGAACUUCUGCUAAAUGCUAUAAGACACUGACAUGACAGACACUGAGAUGCUGCUGUAGCCUCAGUAAGGUAGCAACUGGGAGGUGGCUGGUGACUUCACAUUAGAACCACUGGGAGCUUUAUCAAUACUACUGAUGACCUUGUCUGAGCCAUACUCUACAGAAAUGAAAUCUAUUGAGAAGUUGGAGGUGAGAUGGGGCCCCAGUGUCUGUACUUUUCAAAAACUGCCUGGGUGAUUCUAGUGCAGCCAGAGUGGAGAACCACUAGCCUAGAGCAAAACAAGAUCCGGAGUCAGAGAGAAGAGAAAAAGAUGGCAGCAGAGGCCUCAGGCCAAGGGGUGCCCAGAUCACCAGCAGAGAGGAGGCAGUGGUGCUUAUCUCCUUAUUAUGCGCACACACACACACACACACACACACACACACACACUCCUUUCAUCUGUCUCCUCUAUGGCUACAAGGGGAGAAAUCCCUUGGUGGGAAUAAGACCAGCAUUAAGAAGAGAUGGAUAAAAAGAUCAUUGGCCAGCCCAGCCUUGGGCCUAGCUAAA